AACUGAAUGGAGAAGUGGUUUAACUCGUCUCAUUCACUCUGAGAAGAUCGUCGGUUCAAACCCGGCUUCAGUUA